GCACUGCUGUGGAGUCCCACAAUAGGACGAAACGGCAGUCCAGUGC
rfam:Schistosoma curassoni strain Dakar, Senegal genome assembly, scaffold: SCTD_contig0002812